AAAUUCUUAACCACUGGGACAAACACUUAAUUAUGACAUAUCUCAACAAAACAAGAAUUCAUAUUUUGGGGCAUUACAAUUUAUAUAUAGAAAUAUAUUAUUUAUAUAAUAAUGUAUAUUAUUUACAGGGGGGAUCCACUUACCAUAGUGUAAAACUUAAGUGAUUUUACACCUUUCUGAAACCUUUUAUACCAUUAAUAUUUUAAAAAUCCAACCGUUGAAUUUAUCAAGAUAUUUU
rnacentral:lncRNA from 1 species